rnacentral:rRNA from 1 species
AAUGAACGCUGGCGGCAUGCCUAACACAUGCAAGUCGAACGAAGGCUUCGGCCUUAGUGGCGCACGGGUGCGUAACGCGUGGGAAUCUGCCCUUGGGUUCGGAAUAACAGUUAGAAAUGACUGCUAAUACCGGAUGAUGUCGUAAGACCAAAGAUUUAUCGCCCAAGGAUGAGCCCGCGUAGGAUUAGCUAGUUGGUGGGGUAAAGGCCUACCAAGGCGACGAUCCUUAGCUGGUCUGAGAGGAUGAUCAGCCACACUGGGACUGAGACACGGCCCAGACUCCUACGGGAGGCAGCAGUGGGGAAUAUUGGACAAUGGGCGAAAGCCUGAUCCAGCAAUGCCGCGUGAGUGAUGAAGGCCUUAGGGUUGUAAAGCUCUUUUACCCGGGAUGAUAAUGGCAGUACCGGGAGAAUAAGCGCCGGCUAACUUCGUG